UCGAGCGGCAGCACAAGGGAGUUUACUUCUGAGGUGGCGAGCGGCGGACGGGUGAGUAAUGCCUAGGGAUCUGCCCAGUCGAGGGGGAUAACAGUUGGAAACGACUGCUAAUACCGCAUACGCCCUACGGGGGAAAGGAGGGGACCUUCGGGCCUUCCGCGAUUGGAUGAACCUAGGUGGGAUUAGCUAGUUGGUGAGGUAAUGGCACACCAAGGCGACGAUCCCUAGCUGUUCUGAGAGGAUGAUCAGCCACACUGGGACUGAGACACGGCCCAGACUCCUACGGGAGGCAGCAGUGGGGAAUAUUGCACAAUGGGGGAAACCCUGAUGCAGCCAUGCCGCGUGUGUGAAGAAGGCCUUCGGGUUGUAAAGCACUUUCAGUAGGGAGGAAAGGGUAAGUCUUAAUACGGCUUAUCUGUGACGUUACCUACAGAAGAAGGACCGGCUAACUCCGUGCCAGCAGCCGCGGUAAUACGGAGGGUCCGAGCGUUAAUCGGAAUUACUGGGCGUAAAGCGCGCGUAGGUGGUUCGUUAAGUUAGGAGUGAAAGCCCCGGGCUCAACCUGGGAAUUGCUUCUAGAACUGGCGGACUAGAGUAUGGUA
rnacentral:rRNA from 1 species